rnacentral:rRNA from 1 species
UCAGAUACUUUGGGGUUAUAUGGUCAAGUGAAUAAGUGCAUACGACGGAUGCCUUGGCAUUAGAAGGCGAUGAAGGACGUGAUAAUCUGCGAUAAGCUUCGGUUAGCUGAUAAAUAAGCUUUAACCCGGAGAUCUCCGAAUGGGAAAACCCAGUGGUCAUCAGACCAUUAUCCUUAACUGAAUACAUAGGUUAAGGAGGCAAACCUAGGGAACUGAAACAUCUAAGUACCUAGAGGAAAAGAAAUCAACCGAGAUUCCCUUAGUAGCGGCGAGCGAACGGGGAACAGCCCUUAAGCAUAUUUUAAAUUACUAGAAUGAUCUGGAAAGUUCAACGAUACAGGGUGAUAGUCCCGUAUAGGAAAAUUUAAUUUAUGUGAA